GUGGCCUUCCUGGCUGUUACCCUGGAGAUCGCCCUGCUUGGCGGCGAAGCAGAGGUUCGGUCUAGCCCCAGCAUGUCGAAGUCCGGAUAUCUGCACAGCAGUCCAGACGUUAGCGCCUGUUCCGUAGUCUGGUGAAUUCCUUCGUUCCCGCCUCACCGGCUCAGGGUGGGACUCUGGGUUUGGGGCGCAAGUCAGCUUUAGGCCUCCUAGGGGACCGAGUCCCGAGCACUAGUUGUAAAACAUUGCGUCGCGUUUAUCCUCACCUCGCCUUAUUUUAUUUAUAGUUAGGUUAUUCUUAUGACGUAGACUGAGACGAUGAUUAUUUCACUAACCGGACAGACGGGAAGAGAAGGAAAUCUUCUGUAGCCACACCCCCAGGCGGAUGGAACUGGAGCUGGUGCAUGCUUUUAGCAGACUGCUCUUAACUGCAAACCAGCGCUUGCUAUGAUUUUGUCCAAAGGCUGUGACUGAAAGAUCAAGAAAUCCGUACAUCAGGCCAACCAAAGGAAAUAGGGACAGGAGCAGCAUGCUCAACUACUCACAAAAAUCAAAACAAAACAAUAUCAAGGUUGAGAACUGAGCGUUUGAACAUUUGACCUUAGGCAAAAUUCUGAAACAUGAAGCUAACCCUUCCGUCCUGAAACAGUGAAUCCUUGAUGUAGGGAAUUCGGCGCCUCUGCUGGGUGGAAAGCAUUGUGAUGAGCAAAAUGGGAGAAGACGGUUGAGUUCUCACUAAGUAUUAGGAGGAGGCCAUAAAGCCAUCAAACAGCGGAACAGUGAACAGCGAGAGAGAAUCUGUCACAGUCAGCCCUGCCCAGCCUCUGGGUUUCCAAUUCAGGCAUCCUUUCUGGAGAGCUGAGAAGGAUUCUUGGUGAAAUAAACCGUCUAUAAGGAGGAGAAGAAGCCUUGAGGACUUCAGUUCUGGGACUUUCUGCUCCCGAGCCCCUGUUUUGCUAGCGUUUGGGGCACUGUAUCAAACUAUUCUCAGUAGGAUAUAUUAACAUAUGAGUUGACCACAUGAACUCAGAGGCCCGGAGGACAAUAGA